GACGAACGCUGGCGGCGUGCCUAAUACAUGCAAGUAGAACGCUGAAGAGAGGAGCUUGCUCUUCUUGGAUGAGUUGCGAACGGGUGAGUAACGCGUAGGUAACCUGCCUUGUAGCGGGGGAUAACUAUUGGAAACGAUAGCUAAUACCGCAUAACAAUGGAUGACACAUGUCAUUUAUUUGAAAGGGGCAAUUGCUCCACUACAAGAUGGACCUGCAUUGUAUUAGCUAGUAGGUGAGGUAAUGGCUCACCUAGGCGACGAUACAUAGCCGACCUGAGAGGGUGAUCGGCCACACUGGGACUGAGACACGGCCCAGACUCCUACGGGAGGCAGCAGUAGGGAAUCUUCAGCAAUGGGGGCAACCCUGACCGAGCAACGCCGCGUGAGUGAAGAAGGUUUUCGGAUCGUAAAGCUCUGUUGUAAGUCAAGAACGGGUGUGAGAGUGGAAAGUUCACACUGUGACGGUAGCUUACCAGAAAGGGACGGCUAACUACGUG
rnacentral:rRNA from 1 species